GAAAAUGCGAUAAGUAAUGUGAAUUGCAGAAUUCAGUGAAUCAUCGAAUCUUUGAACGCACCUUGCGCUCCUUGGUAUUCCUUGGAGCAUGUCUGUUUGAGUAUCAUGAAAUCUUCAAAGUAAAUCUUUUGUUAACUCAAUUGGUUUCUACUUUGGUAUUGGAGGUCUUUGCAGCUUCACACCUGCUCCUCUUUGUUCAUUAGCUGGAUCUCAGUGUUAUGCUUGGUUCCACUCGGCGUGAUAAGUUAUCUAUCGCUGAGGACACUGUAAAAGGUGGCCAAGGUAAAUGCAGAUGAACCGCUUCUAAUAGUCCAUUGACUUGGACAAUACUUUUAUGAUCUGAUCUCAAAUCAGGUAGGACUACCCGCUGAACUUAAGC
rnacentral:misc_RNA from 1 species